AUCUUCAACCCCAUGGCCGAAUAUAGCAAGGAGAAACCAUGGCUAGGGUUUUUCAAGCUUCCAAGCUCGAUUUGUUGACAAGCCAGCUCGGAAAUCGGAAACGGUCGGAGGCACGCUCACACUAUCCGUAUACCAUCUUGGCAUAAUGGCUUGUAUAUUUUGAGUAUGGCAUGUAUAGCAUUAUAAUCAUUUUGUAUAUAUGGUCUUAUGAUAUGGUUAUUGAGUGGUAUGGAAAUAGAAAUGCUUGGUAAUGAUUAGCCAUUGGAAUGGCUAAUCAUGAUCA